rnacentral:rRNA from 1 species
GUGCCAGCCGCCGCGGUAAUACCGGCAGCCCGAGUGAUGGCCGAUCUUAUUGGGCCUAAAGCGUCCGUAGCUGGCUGCGCAAGUCCGUCGGGAAAUCCACUCGCCCAACGAGUGGGCGUCCGACGGAAACUGCACAGCUUGGGACCGGAAGGCUCGAAGGGUACGUUCGGGGUAGGAGUGAAAUCCUGUAAUCCCGUCCGGACCACCGAUGGCGAAAGCACUUCGAGAAAACGGAUCCGACAGUGAGGGACGAAAGCUAAGAUCGCGAACCGGAUUAGAAACCCGAGUAGUCC